rnacentral:sRNA from 1 species
CUGUACGAGUCGUAGAGUGUAGUCUGGAGAAAAG